rnacentral:rRNA from 1 species
AGAGUUUGAUCCUGGCUCAGAGCGAACGCUGGCGGCAGGCUUAACACAUGCAAGUCGAGCGGGCGUAGCAAUACGUCAGCGGCAGACGGGUGAGUAACGCGUGGGAACAUACCUUUUGGUUCGGAACAACACAGGGAAACUUGUGCUAAUACCGGAUAAGCCCUUACGGGGAAAGAUUUAUCGCCGAAAGAUUGGCCCGCGUCUGAUUAGCUAGUUGGUGAGGUAACGGCUCACCAAGGCGACGAUCAGUAGCUGGUCUGAGAGGAUGAUCAGCCACAUUGGGACUGAGACACGGCCCAAACUCCUACGGGAGGCAGCAGUGGGGAAUAUUGGACAAUGGGCGCAAGCCUGAUCCAGCCAUGCCGCGUGAGUGAUGAAGGCCCUAGGGUUGUAAAGCUCUUUUGUGCGGGAAGAUAAUGACGGUACCGCAAGAAUAAGCCCCGGCUAACUUCGUGCCAGCAGCCGCGGUAAUACGAAGGGGGCUAGCGUUGCUCGGAAUCACUGGGCGUAAAGGGUGCGUAGGCGGGUCUUUAAGUCAGAGGUGAAAUCCUGGAGCUCAACUCCAGAACUGCCUUUGAUACUGAAGAUCUUGAGUUCGGGAGAGGUGAGUGGAACUGCGAGUGUAGAGGUGAAAUUCGUAGAUAUUCGCAAGAACACCAGUGGCGAAGGCGGCUCACUGGCCCGAUACUGACGCUGAGGCACGAAAGCGUGGU